rnacentral:rRNA from 1 species
AUUGAACGCUGGCGGCAGGCUUAACACAUGCAAGUCGAGCGGAGAGAGGUAGCUUGCUACCGAUCUUAGCGGCGGACGGGUGAGUAAUGCUUAGGAAUCUGCCUAUUAGUGGGGGACAACAUUUCGAAAGGAAUGCUAAUACCGCAUACGUCCUACGGGAGAAAGCAGGGGAUCUUCGGACCUUGCGCUAAUAGAUGAGCCUAAGUCGGAUUAGCUAGUUGGUGGGGUAAAGGCCUACCAAGGCGACGAUCUGUAGCGGGUCUGAGAGGAGGAUCCGCCACACUGGGACUGAGACACGGCCCAGACUCCUACGGGGGGCAGCAGUGGGGAAUAUUGGACAAUGGGCGCAAGCCUGAUCCAGCCAUGCCGCGUGUGUGAAGAAGGCCUUAUGGUUGUAAAGCACUUUAAGCGAGGAGGAGGCUACGUUAGUUAAUACCUAGAGAUAGUGGACGUUACUCGCAGAAUAAGCACCGGCUAACUCUGUGCCAGCAGCCGCCGUAAUAC